GGAUUAAUAGCUUAGUGGUAGAGCACAUGCUUAGCAUGCAUGAGGUCCUGGGUUCAAGCCCCAGUCCCUCCA
rnacentral:tRNA from 1 species